UGAAAGACUAUGACCCUAGGAGGC
rnacentral:piRNA from 1 species